UCCCUGAUGGUCCAGUGGUUAGGACUCUGCACUUUGACUGCUAAGUGCCUGGGUUCAAUCCCUGAUUCAAGGAA
rnacentral:tRNA from 1 species